AGAGUUUGAUUAUGGCUCAGAACGAACGCUGGCAGCGUGGAUUAGGCAUGCAAGUCGAACGGGAAACCUCUUUUUCAACCUUCGGGGAGAAAUUGAGGUGGAGAGUGGCGAAAGGGUGAGUAACGCGUGGAUAAGCUGCCCCUAAGUUGGGGACAACAUCGGGAAACUGGUGCUAAUACCGAAUGUGGUACUGUGUCGCAUGGCACGGCUACUAAAGGUGGGGACCUUCGGGCCUGCCGCUUGGGGAGGCAUCCGCGUGCCAUCAGCUUGUUGGUAGGGUAAUGGCCUACCAAGGCUUACGGCUAGCUGGUCUGAGAGGAUGAUCAGCCACACUGGGACUGAGACACUGCCCAGACUCCUACGGGAGGCUGCAGUCGAGGAUCAUUCGCAAUGCGCGAAAGCGUGACGAUGCGACGCUGCGUGGAGGAUGACGGCCUUCGGGUUGUAAACUCCUGUCAUGAAGGAAAAGACGCUCUGUCCUUAAUAAGGGCGGAGCCCGAUGGUACUUCAAGAGGAAGCCACGGCUAACUCUGUGCCAGCAGCCGCGGUAAUACAGAGGUGGCGAGCGUUGUUCGGAUUUACUGGGCGUAAAGCGUACGUAGGCGGCUUGGUAUGUCGGAUGUGAAAGCCCGGGGCUCAACCCCGGAAGUGCAUCCGAAACUGCCGAGCUAGAGUACAGGAGGGGAGAGCGGAAUUCAUGGUGUAGCGGUGAAAUGCGUUGAUAUCAUGAAGAACACCGGUGGCGAAGGCGGCUCUCUGGAAUGUAACUGACGCUGAGGUACGAAAGCGUGGGUAGCAAACAGGAUUAGAUACCCUGGUAGUCCACGCCGUAAACGGUGCGCACUUGGUGUGGGAGGUAUUGACCCCUUCCGUGCCGGAGCUAACGUGUUAAGUGCGCCGCCUGGGAAGUACGGUCGCAAGAUUAAAACUCAAAGAGAUUGACGGGGCCCCGCACAAGCGGAGGAGCAUGUGGCUUAAUUCGAUGCAACGCGAAGAACCUUACCUGGACUUGACAUGUAACUGCACGCCUCCUGAAAGGGAGGAAGCCUUCGAGGGUGUUACACAGGUGCUGCAUGGCUGUCGUCAGUUCGUGCCGUGAGGUGUUGGGUUAAGUCCCGCAACGAACGCAACCCCUAUGUUUAGUUGCCAGCAGGUAAUGCUGGGCACUCUAAACAGACUGCCCGUACAAGCGGGAGGAAGGUGGGGACGACGUCAAGUCAGUAUGGCCCUUACGUCCAGGGCUGCACACGUGCUACAAUGGCCGGUACAAUGGGACGCAAUGCCGCGAGGUGGAGCAAAUCCCCAAAACCGGCCUCAGUUCGGAUUGGAGUCUGCAACUCGACUCCAUGAAGUUGGAUUCGCUAGUAACGGCGCAUCAGCUACGGCGCCGUGAAUACGUUCCCGGGGCUUGUACACACCGCCCGUCACAUCAUGAAAGCCGUCUGCACCCGAAGUCACUGGGCUAACCCGCAAGGGAGGCAGGUGCCGAAGGUGUGGGUGGUGAUUGGGAUGAAGUCGUAACAAGGUAGCC
rnacentral:rRNA from 1 species